GAUGAAGAACGUAGCGAAAUGCGAUAAGUAAUGUGAAUUGCAGAAUUCAGUGAAUCAUCGAAUCUUUGAACGCACAUUGCGCCCGCCAGUAUUCUGGCGGGCAUGCCUGUUCGAGCGUCAUUACAACCCUCAGGCCCCCGGGCCUGGCGUUGGGGAUCGGCGGAGCCCCCCGUGGGCACACGCCGUCCCCCAAAUGCAGUGGCGGUCCCGCCGCAGCUUCCAUCGCGUAGUAGCUAACACCUCGCGACUGGAGAGCGGCGCGGCCACGCCGUAAAACACCCAACUCUUCUGAAGUUGACCUCGAAUCAGGUAGGAAUACCCGCUGAACUUAAGCAUAUCAAUAAGCGGAGG
rnacentral:misc_RNA from 1 species